AUUGAACGCUGGCGGCAUGCCUUACACAUGCAAGUCGAACGGUAACGGGUUAAGCCGACGAGUGGCGAACGGGUGAGUAAUAUAUCGGAACGUGCCCAGUCGUGGGGGAGUAACGUAGAGAAAUUUAACGUCUAAUACCGCAUACGAUCUAAGGAUGAAAGACGGGGGAGUCGCAAGACCUCGCGCGAUUGGAGCGGCUGAUAUCAGAUUAGGUUGUUGGUGAGGUAAAAGACUCACCAAGCCGACGAUCUGUAGCUGGUUUGAGAGAACGACCAGCCACACUGGGACUGAGACACGGCCCAGACUCCUACGGGAGGCAGCAGUGGGGAAUUUUGGACAAUGGGCGAAAGCCUGAUCCAGCAAUGCCGCGUGCAGGAAGAAGGCCUUCGGUUGUAAC
rnacentral:rRNA from 1 species